UGUUCAACGGCCGCGGUAUCCUAACCGUGCGAAGGUAGCGUAAUCACUUGUUCUUUAAAUGGGGACUAGUAUGAAUGGCAUCACGAGGGUCAAACUGUCUCCUUUUUCUAAUCAGUGAAACUAAUCUCCCCGUGAAGAAGCGGGGAUUAGCUUAUAAGACGAGAAGACCCUAUGGAGCUUAAAACAAAUUUACACUUGCUUUUAUACAUUCACCUUCCUGAACAUUCACAUAAAAUUUAGCACAACUGAUAAUUAGUUUUCGAUUGGGGUGAUCAUGGAGAAAAAAAUAACCUCCACAACGAUAAGGGAACCCCCUGAGCCAAAAGCCACAACUUUAAGCACUAAAAAAUUAACGCACCUUGACCCAAUUUACUUGAUCAACGAACC
rnacentral:rRNA from 1 species